AUGAGUUCAGUUUAUGUCACUUCUAGUAUAUUUGUUUCAUAAUUUUCUCUGACCCACCCCCCCCCCAAGCAUAUCUCAAACAAAGUUAAUCCUAGAAGUAUUUCAUGCCAUACAGUUGCCAAGUAAUUAGGCUCAAUAAAGAUAAAUUAUUAGUUGCAUGAUGAGUACUAGUUGAUGGCUACUGGUAGUGUAUCAUCACUUCACUCCUUGGAGUUCUGUGUAAAUUUAGAUCUCAAUUUUCAAUUAUUUUUGUUUUCCUACAUUUCUAUUCUAUACUUGCAUUUUACUAAGGUAUGCCCUUUCAUUUAUUAAAAUCUAUUAUUAUCAGAAAAGACUAACUCAAUUACUCAACACUUAUCGAUUUCUCUUUUUCAUAGUUGAGAUCCAUGAAUAAAAUUGCCUUUCUUUUUGGCAGUCUUCCACAUAUCCAUUACUGUUUUGACUCUAUCAAAUGUACUUAAUUCUUGCAUUGGUGCGUUUGUCAUGAACUUAGUAAAGGAAAGGUGAUUUUAUCACGUGACUUCUUAUUGUUGAUAUUUAUGACCAGAUCCACUUUGUUGAUUCUCUUAUGUAUCUUGUUUUCGAUCCUUUUCUUUAUCAUGACUGUAAAUGUCUUGCUUUAACCUAUGGAAAUCAAUACAGUAGGUCACAUUUAGUUAGUGCUGAAUGACUAAUGGCACUCAGUCUUUUGGCUGUAGAUUAGUUCAGAGAUUUACCUGCUAAUAAGAAAAAUGAAUGGGCACGCCUUCCAAACUGAAAAUUAUGAUUAUUAUUUGAUUCCAAUUUGUGUAUAGGCUUCAAAUUUAC
rnacentral:lncRNA from 1 species